UACCGAAUGCUACCGAAUGCCGUUGCCGA
rnacentral:sRNA from 1 species